rnacentral:rRNA from 1 species
UGGAACCUACGGGACGCAGCAGUAGGGCAUAUUGCUCAAUGGGGGAAACCCUGAAGCAGCAACGCCGCGUGGAGGAUGAAGGUUUUAGGAUUGUAAACUCCUUUUGUUAGAGAAGAUUAUGACGGUAUCUAACGAAUAAGCACCGGCUAACUCCGUGCCAGCAGCCGCGGUAAUACGGAGGGUGCAAGCGUUACUCGGAAUCACUGGGCGUAAAGAGUGCGUAGGCGGGGGAAUAA